rnacentral:lncRNA from 12 species
GCAAAACACCUUUCUGGGUUUACCUGCAGUUUCUCAUGGCAAGAGUGUGUGAGAAGGAGAAAUCUGAAGGAAUGGGCACUCAAUCUCAGCAUAACACUUUAUAAGCAUGUCUGCAUGGAGCAAAACAUCUUUGGAGGAAAGAACCAGGACUUGGUGCUUCCCUA